UAAUACGGAGGGUCCGAGCGUUAUCCGGAAUCAUUGGGUUUAAAGGGUCCGUAGGCGGGCAGCUCAGUCAGUGGUGAAAGUUUGCAGCUUAACUGUAAAAUUGCCAUUGAUACUGGUUGUCUUGAAUUAAUGUGAAGUGGUUAGAAUAAGUAGUGUAGCGGUGAAAUGCAUAGAUAUUACUUAGAAUACCAAUUGCGAAGGCAGAUCACUAACAUUAUAUUGACGCUGAUGGACGAAAGCGUGGGGAGCGAACAGGAUUAGAUACCCUGGUAGUCCACGCCGUAAACGAUGGAUACUAGCUGUUCGGUAGCAAUACUGAGUGGCUAAGCGAAAGUGAUAAGUAUCCCACCUGGGGAGUACGUUCGCAAGAAUG
rnacentral:rRNA from 1 species